CCGAGUUUACAACUCCCAAACCCCUGUGAACAUACCACUUGUUGCCUCGGCGGAUCAGCCCGCUCCCGGUAAAACGGGACGGCCCGCCAGAGUACCCCUAAACUCUGUUUCUAUAUGUAACUUCUGAGUAAAACCAUAAAUAAAUCA
rnacentral:misc_RNA from 1 species